rnacentral:rRNA from 1 species
UACAGAGGUCUCAAGCGUUGUUCGGAUUCAUUGGGCGUAAAGAGCGUGUAGGCGGCCAGGUAGGUCGGUUGUGAAAACUGGAGGCUCAACCUUCAGAGGUCGACCCGAAACCAUCUGGCUAGAGUCCGGGAGAGGAGAGUGGAAUUCCUGGUGUAGCGGUGAAAUGCGCAGAUAUCAGGAAGAACACCCGUGGCGAAAGCGGCUCUCUGGAACGGUACUGACGCUGAGACGCGAAAGCGUGGGGGAGCGAACAGG